ensembl:snoRNA LOC120093448 small nucleolar RNA SNORA17
CCUGCUUCUAGAGGCUUUGCAGGUGUGGUGGCUAUAUUAUAUGUGUCAGUAGGUGGCAGAAAGGAGAGAGACUCUGUCUAAGCUCAGUGUUCUGACAAUGAACAUCUGAAUUAUUAGUAAAUUAAAAAA